rnacentral:rRNA from 1 species
UACGUAGGCAGCAAGCGUUGUUCGGAAUUAUUGGGCGUAAAGCGUGCGCAGGCGGUUCGUUGUGUCGGCGGUGAAAGCCCCGGGCUCAACCUGGGAAUGGCCGUUGAAACUGGCGAACUGGAGUGUGGCAGAGGGGGGUGGAAUUCCGCGUGUAGCAGUGAAAUGCGUAGAGAUGCGGAGGAACACCGAUGGCGAAGGCAGCCCCCUGGGCUGACACUGACGCUCAGGCACGAAAGCGUGGGGAGCAAACAGG